AUACGUAGGGUGCAAGCGUUAAUCGGAAUUACUGGGCGUAAAGCGUGCGCAGGCGGUUCGGAAAGAAAGGUGUGAAAUCCCAGGGCUUAACCUUGGAACUGCACUUUUAACUGCCGGGCUAGAGUACGUCAGAGGGGGGUAGAAUUCCACGUGUAGCAGUGAAAUGCGUAGAGAUGUGGAGGAAUACCGAUGGCGAAGGCAGCCCCCUGGGAUGAUACUGACGCUCAUGCACGAAAGCGUGGGGAGCAAACAGGAUUAGAUACCCUGGUAGUCCACGCCCUAAACGAUGUCAACUAGCUGUUGGGGUUUAUUAACCUUAGUAGCGCAGCUAACGCGUGAAGUUGACCGCCUGGGGAGUACGGUCGCAAGAUUAAA
rnacentral:rRNA from 1 species